AAAAGGAGCUGAGAAUGGAACCUUGAAGAAAGGCUCCUGAAAAGAAGACUGAAACACAUUGGCAAGAGAAGUAGAAGAACCAGAAGAGCCCACUGCUUUGGAAACCGAAGGAGUUGAUUUCAUAACAGGGGAAAUAACAAGGAGUUUCAGGAGUUGAGGGGAGAUCAUAGAGUUGGCAGGCAGAGAAGAGUCCCCGGCUUGGACAAUGGAGGCUGGGGGUUCCCCUGGAGCAGGACUCCUCAAAAUGUGUUCUGCAGACCUGCACCAGGCCACACACUGGACAGGCCCACCAACAGUAAUUUCAACACUACUCCUAUUCUAUGCAUCAAUGGCUUUGAUGGUUAUUGAUGGAACAGGGGUCAGAAGCAGAUGCCUGGAGGACUGAGCAGGAGGCCAGGAUGCUGGACCACCCACUCUCUGGUCAUGGCAAGUGAAAGAUAGAGGGCACUUGGUCAGUGUUGGGGAAGGAGAGGUGGCAAAGGGAAGAUCCUGAAGACCCAGAGAAUGUUGUUUGUGGCUCAUAUUUGCUCA
rnacentral:lncRNA from 1 species